UCUCCUAUAACCAGACUCUCUCUCUUCUUUUUUCUCUCUAUUUCUUCUUACCACAACCAGAAACCACCACCAUAUGGCUUCAUUCAACUGAGCAACUUCUGAUAAAGCGACGGACGUACGACCUAUUACCACCUCCGUUAUAAACACCGUCACCGGUAGUCUCCGGAAGUAUUCAGAUGGUUUACAUGAAUGUUCUCCAACUUAUCAAUAGCAGAGCUUCAACUAUUGAUCGGUUUGUGUGCCCAGUGAAUUUCUCCUCCGAUUUGCCUUUCUCGGUGUCAAGUAAAGUUAAACAAAAGUUAAAUGAAAAGUGGCAGAAAGAAAAGGCCUUACGUCUUAUAUGAAGUAGAACUUGGACGUUUAAACUAUGUACUGAUGUGGAAAAUUUGGAAUUGGAGGGGUAUUUGAAGAGACUAAAUCACUUGAAGGAAAAGCUGGUCAUAAUUUAUGUAUUAUAAGACAGGGUAAAUCACUGUAUUAUUGAUUCCCCUCUUCUCUUGAGAAGGGCCCCUAAUCUCUACAAAUAAAUGAAUAAAUUCGAAGCAUGUGAAGAAGAUGAGCGACGAGCCGAGACAACAGCGGAAUCAAGCGACGAUGGUGUUUCAAUGCUGAAUUGGGUCUUCAUAACGUUUUUUCUAGCCGACGUCAAGGUUUUCAUCUCAUCUUCCGUUGUUUCUUUUGGUAACUUAUCGAAUGUUGAUAGAUAGUUUUUCGUCCUAAUUUUUAUCGUAGAAUUGAAGUUUAUUUUGUUAUAGUGUGAUGGUGAUGAACUGUAAUGAGGAACUGGUAUUGAGACUAAUUUUCUUGGUUCUCAGGUUAAGUGGGAGAGUAUAAGUGUUUUACUCACCUAAUAUUAUGAGACUUUUUUUUAUUAUGAUUAUGAAAUGUAGGUGGUAUGAUAUCUGUCAUUUGUUUCUUAUGAGAAUAAUUGUAGUGUCCUAAGUAGCAUUUUUUUAUUGCAUCCAAACUAGGGGUUACAUUUAGCUGCUAAACUACAAUGAGCAGAACUUAUUCAUUUCACUUCUUUAUUUAAAAAGCUUGGUUGACAACUAAAUCCUGCCGCGUACGUUCGUAUAUAUUGCGCUGUAAUUUGUAAGCCCUAGCCGCA